UAUAUCUCUCUCCAAAUUAUAAACUCCAUUUAUCUUGAUCCACACAUAAACAUGUUCGGUCCAUGGAGGUCCAAUGUAAAGUUGUGGUUGCCUUGGAGAGAUGUAUAUAUGCAAUCAAACAUAGUUGAUUGUCAUGAACCACAGUGAGGAAGAGAUAGACUAUGGACCAGAAGGUGAUGAGCCCAGCCCAAGAGGCAAAUCCAAA
rnacentral:lncRNA from 1 species